UACGUAGGGAGCAAGCGUUGUCCGGAAUCAUUGGGCGUAAAGCGCGCGUAGGCGGCCCCGUAAGUCCGCUGUGAAAGUCAAAGGCUCAACCUUUGAAAGCCGGUGGAUACUGUGGGGCUAGAGUCCGGAAGAGGCGAGUGGAAUUCCUGGUGUAGCGGUGGAAUGCGCAGAUAUCAGGAGGAACACCAAUGGCGAAGGCAGGUCUCUGGGCAUUAACUGACGCUGAGGAGCGAAAGCAUGGGGAGCGAACAGG
rnacentral:rRNA from 1 species